GUAAUAUUCAACCUUUUGUCAUGAAUAUAUGGAUGGAAUGUUAUCUAGAACCUGCAGUAUGAGGUGUGUCACUAAUCUCUGAAGCAUAGGUUGUUUCAGUUAUAUACGUCUUGAAGAGGAUCUGACUAGCCCGCCGUCCAUCACACACCAAGAGGUCCCAUGAACAACCUAUGUCCCCUCUGUGUUAUGCAAGUUAUGUGAGAUAUCAGUAUUCAAGCUAGAUUGUUUGCUAAAAGAUGGUUUAAACUUUCGAUGAGUAUGCAAAAUUCACGACUUUAUUCAUACAAAUGGAGCUCAUUGCAAAAUUAAAGCGUCCUUACAUUGUGGAAUAGAAAUACUCUUAGGUGGAGAAGGGUGCUAUGUGUGCUUUUGUGACUGGCUACUGCAGGGGAGGAGACAUCUAUGUAGCUUGUGAAGAACUCCCGGUUAAAUGUUGCCUUGAAUUUCUUGUGGAUAUUUCAUAUGGUUCCAAGUCCAAAAUAUGGUCGCUAGGUAGGUAUUCGUUUCUAAUAUUCAGUUAUGUGUCUUAUCUCAGUGUCGAACUGUUAUAAUGGCUAAAUAUCUGCAAUCUUCAGGCUACUAGAUCUUUGAUAUGGCUGCACUGAAGCAUGCAUUCAAAGUAUUUGUAAGUAACUAUGUUGGCAUGCUCUUUUAUUUAUAGCUCCUUGCAAGUUGUAACACAUGUGAUGUUUCACCAAAGAUGCAUCUGCGAUUUUAGUAGUUAUAGCUUUGGUACUCGCACCUUUUCAUCGUGGAUCAUCGUUGGUGCCGUGAUGUUGAAGUUAUCAGUAGGUAAUUGCUGAGGUAUGUUCUUGUUUUAUUGGGUCCAUUUGCUUGGGCAUUGCUGGUUUGCUACAACAAUGGUCUCCUCUUUGCCUACAUGUGUGUUCCAUGGCCUACAUGUUUAGUCAGCGGUUACUCCAUGUAGUUUAUUUUCCAUCUUGUUAAAAUAGUCCCCUUUUGCCAUCUAGACAUGACUAGCUAUUUGUAGUGACAUGUAAUUUGCCUCUUGUCAACUUACUAGAUUUUACCCAGUUUGAGUUUGGCAGCUCCUUCAAAGCAAAUGGCUUGUAAGAAUUACUUAUGUAACCUCAUUUAGUUCCUAUUCACAGGAUGGUGCUUGUGAUACCUUGGUCAUCUACAUUACUGCUGCCAUUGCAAUAUCUUGCAUUUUGUGAGAUUUCAUUGUGGAACUAAACAUAAAUCGAUUCUAAUGUCAUUCUCCAUGAAACCCUUUUAUGGAACUGCAUACAACCAAUCUUAAUAACUUAAGUAGGAAUAUUUUUUUAUCUGAGAGAGAAUUAAGUUUGCGAAAUUCCAGUCGUGUUAUUCUCUGAAAUUUAUAGCAUGUAUACUAUGUAUCAGAAGUACUGCUAUCCAUGUGCAAGACACACAUGCAUUCCGGUUUCCCCAGUGAUGUGCUUCAUCUAUCACAGCUAGGAGGAGCUAUGAAAGGCCUAUUUGAUCAGGAUUACAACAGCAAGAGAUGUAUAUAUGCAAGCCAAUAUUAGUUCAAAACUUAAGCAAGCAUGUUUUGUCUAGGUCAUGCUUUAAGUCAUCGUGUACUAGAUUUGAUAAAAUAUCGGCCAAGCAUUUUUCAUGAUUUUAUUGCCAAUGUAAAGUGACAUGUCUACUCAUGGUAUUGGCUUCUUUUCAAAAUUGAAUGUAUUGUGCCGUUUUGGGCUAGAACACAA